rnacentral:rRNA from 1 species
GACAGAGGUGCCGAGCGUUAGGCGGAAUCACUGGGCUUAAAGCGUGUGUAGGCGGGUCCGUAAGUACCUUGUGAAAUCCCACGGCUCAACCGUGGAACUGCUCGGUAUACUGCGGGCCUUGAGCCAGCUAGGGGCAACCGGAACAAACGGUGGAGCGGUGAAAUGCGUAGAUAUCGAGAGGAACACCUGCGGCGAAGGCGGGUUGCUGGGCCGACACGUGACGCUGAUGCGCGAAAGCCAGGGGAGCGAACGGG